rnacentral:tRNA from 2 species
GGUACUAUAGUGUAGUGGUUAUCACUCGGGAUUUUGAAGCCUUUCGGAUUUCCCGAAACCCAGGUUCGAACCCUGGUAGUACCU